GCGCGCGACCUAUACCCG
rnacentral:snRNA from 1 species